rnacentral:rRNA from 1 species
CAAUAGCGUAUAUUAAAGUUGUUGCAGUUAAAAAGCUCGGAGUUGGAUUUCUGGUGGGAGCGAUCGGUCUGGCGCUUAGCGCGAGUACUUGCAUCGUCUCCGGCCAUCCUUGGGGAGAGUCUGUCUGGCAUUAGGUUGUCGGGCAGAGGAUCCUCAUCGUUUACUGUGAAAAAAUUAGAGUGUUCAAAGCAGGCUUAUGCCGUUGAAUAUAUUAGCAUGGAAUAAUAAGAUAGGACUUUGGUACUAUUUUGUUGGUUUGCGCACCAAAGUAAUGAUUAAUAGGGACAGUUGGGGGUAUUCGUAUUCCGUUGUCAGAGGUGAAAUUCUUGGAUUUACGGAAGACGAACUACUGCGAAAGCAUUUACCAAGGAUGUUUUCAUUAA